GCCAGUGUGGUGUAAUGCUUUGAGUGUUGGACUAUGACUCUGGAGACCAGGGUUAGAAUCCCUGCACAGCCA